rnacentral:lncRNA from 1 species
ACACAGGGAGAACGCCAUCUGACCAAGGAGGCAGAGACUGGAGUGAUGUAGCUGCAAGCCAAGGAAUGUCAAGGAUUGCUGGCCAACUACCAGAGGCUAGGAAGAGAUGGAGUUUCACUCUCGUCGCCCAGGCUGGAGUACAAUGGCGCGAUCUUGGCUCACUGCAACCUCCACCUCCCCAGUUCAAGUGAUUCUCCUACCUCAGCCUCCCAAGUAGCUGGGAUUACAGCUUCCAUAAGUCAGGAUUCCAGUCACAGCUUAGCUGGAUCCUCUCAGAAGGCUACGAUCAAGGUGUCAGCCAGACUGAGUUCUCAUCAGAGGCUCGACUAGGAGAGGAUCUGCUUCCAAGUUCCCUCAGGUUGUUGGAAGGAUUCAUUUUCUUGUGGCUAAGCUCACAGGAGCUUUCUUCUUCAAGGGCAUCAGGAGAGUGGAGAGCGAGUCUACUCAAAGACUUCUAUACAAAUCAUAAGACAUCAAGUACUCUUCAACUGCCUAUUGGGAGACAAUUUCCACAGCUCUCUCAUGUUUCUGCACAACUUGUAAGCAAGACAAGACUCUCUUAUCUUCUGGACUCUAUUUUCAAGAAUACUCAUAUAGUGAACAGUGUCUUCUUCCUGAGCGAAGGGCAUAAAUGCUACUUUCCAUUUUAAAAGAUUCAAGUUCCCUAAGCUCGGAAUUCUUCUGUAAUGCAACCCAUUGUGUGUGCAGGUAUCACCUGGCAUUCUUCCCAUUACCCUGUGGGAAUUGGAGCUCAGGGAACCUUCAUAGAAAUUCUGAUAGUCUAGCUACUGCUAUUUCUAUGAGUAAUAAAUUGUUUCUGACCUAGAAGUCUUGUGUCUUCUGCUGGCACCCAUGAAAUUAUGAGGCUAAAUUGUUAGAUUACAAGUGAGGUAAAAUCUUGGACGCUUCCCAGUUCUUGACACUGACUAAAAUACAUGCAUAUUCGUUUUAUCAAGUCAGUUUGAAAAAAAAUCUAUGAAUUAAAAUAAUUACAAAAUUCUAAGGACUGAAUUUGUAAUAUAUUGGAUGAACAAAACCCUCUACCUUGGUUCUGAAAUUCUUGAUAGUUGAGAUAUGUGUAACAUUUGUAAUUUGAAAUACACAAGUAAUUCUCUAUUUAAAAGGUCAUAUAUCCAAAGUAUUGAAAAAUCUAGAAUACAUUAAACUUUAGCUAUCCAUGGUGAAAGGCAGUGGCAAAACAGCUGCAGAAAAGCUGAAACUAGAUUCAAUUAAAUCUUUGUGCCAAAACCAAGUGCACAAAAAUCUCCCAAAGCUGUUAAAACUAUACAGCUUAUUUGCUAUAAAUUUUAUAAAUGGUUAAAUAAAACAAGUUUUGAAGUAAUUUGGUAAAUUGACAAAUUUUUCACUCAUUGAUUUGUUGUAGCUAAUGAGGGAUGGUGGGGAGUGGAGAAGGGUUCAGAGAACUUGGGAAGGAUAUAAAAAUGGAGGUAUGUGGGGCAAAUGCCCCCAACUACAUGUUUUAAUCAAGAACACCAGCCUAUGAUCAAGGGAAUUUUCAUAUACAGAUGAGAGCUAGUCUCACUUGAUCUUUCUGCAUUAAAACUGUUACAAAGCAACUUCUUUAUCAAAUGAAUACAAUCACAUUUAGUAGAGGCUCUAGUUAAGACCUGAGGCUAUACUGACCUGGGUUAGAGACCUGGCUUUUACAUUUUUACCUAAUCUCUCUAAGCCUUAAUUUCUCAGUUUUAAAAGUGCAGGUAAUCAUAGCAUGUGUUUCCCAAGGAUGUUGUAAAGAUUAGUGUCAGGAUGGCUGAGUGGUGUAAGGCACCAGACCCAAGGAUGUUGUAAGGAUUAAUUGAAAUAUCCACUUGAAUUGCUUAGCAUGAUACCUGCUAUGUAGAAAGUGCUUGAUAGCCUUAACAAUAUAUAUCAUUAAGAAAUUUCCUUGGAAUGGGAAUUUCAAACCACUUUAUCAAAUAUACUUACUUCCUCACUUACUUUUGUGGUUUGGUAGCUUUUUCUUUACACAUUUAGGAGGUGGGGAAGCACAGAGAUAUAGCACUUUCUUUUUUUUUUCUUUGAGACAGAGUCUCGCCCUGUCACCCAGGCUGGAGUGCAGUGGCGCCAUCUUGGCUCACUGCAACCUCCGCCUCCCAGGUUCAAGCUAUUCUCCUGCUUCAGCUUCCUGAGUAGCUGGGACUACAGGUGCACGCCACCAAGCCCGGCUAAUUUUUGUAUUUUUAGUAGAGAAGGGGUUUCACCAUGUUGGCCAGGAUGGUCUCGAUCUCCUGACCUCGUGAUCCACCCGCCUUGGCCUCCCAAAGUGCUAGGAUAACCGGUGUAAGCCACCGCACCUGGCCAGAUAUAGCACUUUCUAAAAGGUCUAUAAAUCUUUCUAAAGAUUAAUAUUGAGUGGGAUCAAUGUGUUUUAGGGAAUCCAGAUACUGCACACCACUUUGCAAAUGUUUAGAUUUUAGCAGAACAACAAAUGGACUUUGCAAAGACUGUCUUUUAAUUAUUAAACCUCUAUUUAUUAAAAAGAAAUUAGGCCAGGCACAGUGGCUCACGCCUGUAAUCCCAGAACUUUGGGAGGCCGAGGUGGGUGGAUCACCUGAGGUCAGGAGUUCAAGACCAGCCUGGCCAACAUGGUGAGACCACAUCUCUACUACAAAUACAAAAAUUAGUCGGGCAUGGUGGCAGGCACCUGCAAUCUCAGCUACUUGGGAGGCUGAAUGAAUUUACAGGUAGGAAGGCACACAUUAUAUAAGUUAAAAUUCAGUUCAACUAUGAGUGACAGAAAACCCUAAUGAGUGGUAGCUUAAACAUACAAUGUUUACUCCCUCAAACAAAAUGUCUGCCUGAUAUGUAGCUGAUGUGAGGCUCCAUGGUGUCAGGGUCCCAGGUUUCUUUUAUCUAUGGCUUUGCCAUCUUUAUCACAUGAACCAUAAUGACUGCUUGAGUUUCUUAUGGUCUAAAAUGGUUUCUUGAGUUUCCUAUCCCCAUCCAGUCAGGAAGAAAAAAAAAAAAAAAAAAAAGGAAUGACUGAUGAAGCGCUUGCUUUUAUUUUAAGAACACUUCCUGCAAGUUGCACAUACCAAUUCUGUUUGCAUUCUUUUGGCCACAACUUACCUACUUGGCCAUGCCUAGCUUCAAGAGAAGAGAAAUGUAGUCAUUAUUUUGAGUAGUUAUAUGUCCAGAUGGAAAUCAGGGGAGCUAUCACACACACACACACACACACACACACACACACACACACACACACACACACAAAGCACAAAACAGAUACUGGGGACAACUCAUCUUCUUUGCCUCAUACACUGAAAUUAAGCCAGAUUGGUCUUGUUUUUGAAAGAAAGUAACACUGUUAGUAAGAGAGACUUUGGUAUUGUCUAAUCAAACUUCUCUCUUUUUGUGGAUGAGACUCAUGUUGUCUGAGUUCAAGUUCAGAUAUCAUCCAUUCCUUGAGCUUGUAUGUGUGAUACUACACACUACAACCUAGCACAGAGAGGAUGAGAAGACAAGAAAUGAGAACUUAGGUGUUACUUAGUAUUUAUUUAUAAUAGUAGUUUUAAAAAUGCUGUCUUGACACAGUUUUGAGGCCCUGGAAAUAACAUUUUAAAGUAAAAACGUUAAAGUUUAAAGAAGAGCUUUGCCACUUAAACGGGGGAGUUUGUCUGGAAAAUAUAUUGAGUUGAAACACUUCAUCCUUGGAAGGAUUAUAUACGAUGAACAAUUGCAUAUAAAUGUGUGUUUUAGAGAGAUGUGAACGGGCAGUUAGUCCAGUGCCCUCAUUUAAGAGGCCAAAAUCCUGACUCAGAGGAGGUGUCCUUUGCCCAGAGCUUCUUAGCUAAUCUGACCAAAUGUUGGGAAAUAUAUCUUACCUAACCUACUAUUCCUUAAUUAUGGAUUUUGUGGAAAACAAUAAAACAUGUUAAUGAGUAAUUUAUAUUAGUUCAAUUUAUUACAAUUUUUUAGCUUUAAAUUACAGUUUUCUUAUAAUGAUGAAAUGUUUUAGAAUCCUUUGAAUCUAAGUAUUUACUUAUUUCCUAAAUAAAACAUUAGUACAACAUUUGAUGUUUUACUUAUGAAAUAUCCUCCUCUCCCAAGAUAAUUAAAACUUUUUCUUUCUAUUUAAAAGCUAAGAAAUGAUGUUUUAAAGGAAAAAUGAAAUUAUUUUCUUUUAGCUUCUUUUAAGGUAAAACAGCUUUUUUACUCUGUUAUUGUGGUAAUGGACAGAAAAUUGCAUACCAAAAUAUUCUGGGAGAGCAUUCUCCUAGUUGGUUUUAAAUCAUUGUGCUACCUGAAAGGUUUUUUGAUUUUGUAGGAGCUAUUUUGUCCACCAGCAUUAAUGUGACACUAGUUAUGAAAAUAUAUUGAAGGACAAGAAGUGGACACAAAGUGAUUUUUGUAACCUGGGCAGUUAAUGAAUGUGCCAACGUUUUCGAGGAAGGGACAGCAAGAAUAUUCUGCCCUGUAGUUAAAAUACUGGCUGGCUUUUAAUGUCUUCAUGCUUAAUCGUGAUCACUUUCUUGCACUGUGAUGUUUUUACGUGAACAUGUUAAAAUGGAAGUCUACCAUAUUACUUUAUAAAAUGUUUUCUGUAUGCCAGUAAACUGAAAAUAUGGAUCAACAACAACAACAAAAUGCGUCUUGACACAGUUUUGAGGCCCUAUGUAGGGGUUAGUCAAUUUUCACUGAGCAAUCGGUUAAGCCCAUAUCCCCAACCACCUCCCUUAUGAGACUCUCACCCUCCUGGCCACCAUACACUUUUCCUAAUUACUCUAAGGGCAGGUAUCAGAUAACCAGAGGCAGCUCCUAUACCCUGGAGCCCACUGAAAGUGCUCAAAUUAGUCAAUCCUAAGCCUGCGUAUCCUGCCUCAUCCAUUCCUUCCUGCAGAAACCACAAUAAAGACACUUGUCUUCCCUCUUCCUUUGCCUCACGACCAACCUUGGUGCUUCCCCUGAGUGGCCCUGUGUGGCAUAUUGUGUUCUUCCCAGAGAACUGUCAGUAUAAGAAACUGUAAAACUCUUUCUGGUUUCUGUCUGUUGAUCUGCAUCUGGCCUCACCAGGUAAUAUAACUAAAACAGUAUUAAAUUAAUACUGAGUUGGAAGAAUAACAAUUUGUAUUUAAUAUAAAUGCUUUUCCAGCCAUAAUCUUUGAGGCACAAAUGAAAUAAUGGAUACAACUUUAAAGAAUGACAAUUCCUUGUAAAUGUAGGGUAUUAUAGUUGACUCUUAAACAACAUGAGUUUGAACUAUAUGGCUCAACUUGUACAUGAAUAUUUCUCAGUAAAUAUAUUUGAAAAUGUUUUAGAGAUUUAUGACAAUUUGAAAAAAACUUGAAGAUGAACCUUGUAGCCUAGAAAUAUCUAAUAUUUUCUAAAAGUUAGGUAUGUCAUGAAUGCAUAAAAUAUAUGUAGACACUAGUCCGUUUUAUCAUUUACUACCAUAAAGUGUACAUGAAUCUGUUAUUAAAGUUUGUUAAAAUGUACACAAACACUUAAAGACUGCACAUGAGAGAAAUGUAAACAAAUGUAAAGAUGAAGUAUUAAAUCAUAAUUGCAUAAAAUUAACUGUAGUACAUACUUUACUACUGUAAUCAUUUCAUAGCCACCUAUUGUUGCUACCGUGGUGAGCUCAAGUGUUGUGUAUUCACUGAAAACACCAUUUGGUGCUAAUCAUCUCCACAGGAGCAGUUCGUCUCUCUAGUAAAUUGCAUAUGGCAGUAAAAAGUGAUCUCUCACAUUUCUUGUGUAUUUUUCAUCAUGUUUAGUGCAAUACUGUAAACUUUGAGUAACAUCAUGAGACCUAUAUGAAGUGCCACUAAUGAUGCUGGAAAUGCUCCCAAGAAGCAUAGAAAAGUCAUGACAUUAUGAGAAAAAGUUGAUUUGCUUGAUAUGUACCAUAGACUAAGAUCUGCAGCUGCAGUUGCCCACCAUUUCAAAUGAAUCCACUGUAAGGACCAUUAUAUAAAAAGAAAAGAAAAUGUGUGAAGCUGUCACUGCAGCUAUACCAGCAGGCACAAAAACCUUGCACUUUUUGCGAAAUACCUUUUUAUCUCAUAUUGAAAAAUGCAGCUUUUAUGUGUGUGCAGGAUUGCUAUAAGAAAGGCAUACCUAUAGACUUUGAGAUUAAAUUUAAUUUAAGAUUUGAGAAAAGCAAAGUCAUUAUAUGACAGUUUAAAGCAAAAUGAAGGUGAAAGAUCUAAAACUGGAGAAUUUAAUGUCAGCAAAAGAUGGUUUGAUAAUUUUAGAAAGAGGUUUGGCUUUAAAAAUGUCAAGCUAAUAGGAGAAGCAGCUUCUGCCAACCAAGAGGCAGCAGAUAAGCUGCCAGACACCAUUAAGAAAAUUGUUAAAGAGAAAGGACAUCUCCCUGAACAGGUUUUUAAUGCAGACAAAAGAGCCAUAUUCUAUUUUUUUAAAGUGCCACAAAGGACAUUUAUUUUGCAAAUGCAGUUGCGUUUAUGAUCAGGACUUCCCUUGUCUAUAAAGCUGCUAACCUUUGAGCCUUGAAAAGAAAGGUAAGCACCAGUUGCCAGUAUUUCGGCUGUACAACAAGAAAGCCUGGACAAUGAGAACACUUUUUCUGGACUGGUUCCAUCUAUGCUUCAUCUUUGAAGUCAGCAAGUAUCUUGCCAUUAAGCGAUUGCCUUUUAAAGUUCUUUUGAUAUUGGACAAUGUUCCUGGCCACUCAAAACCACGUGAGUUCAACACCUAAGGUGUCGAAGUGGUCUGUUUGCCUGAAAACACAAUGUUUCUAAUUCAGCCUCUAGAUCAGAGGUUAUAAGGGUCUUUAAGUCUCAUUACACAUGGUUCUCUAUGGAAGGGACUGUCAAUGCUAUGGAAGAGAACAUCGACAGAGGUAGCAUCUUGAAAAGCUGGAAGGAUUACAUCAUUGAAGAUAACAUUGUUGCUAUAGAAAAAGCUGUCGAAGCCAUCAAGCCCAACUAAAUUCCUGCUGAAGGAAACUGUUUCCAGAUGUUGUGCAUGACUUCACAGAAUUUAUAACAGAGUCAAUCAAGGAAAUCAUAAAAGAAAUUGUGAAUAUGACAAAAAGGGUGGUGGAUGAAGAAUUUCAAGAUACAGAUCUUGUAGAAAUUCAAGAGCUAAUAGACAUCACACCAAAGGAAUUAACAGAAGACAACUUGAUGGAGAUGAGUGCUUCUGAACCAGUGCCAGAUGAUGAAAAAGAAGAUGUUGAAGAAGCUGUGCCAGAAAACAAAUUGACAUUGGACAAUCUGAUGGAAGCAUCCCAAUUUUUCAAGACUUAUUUUGACUUAUUUUACAACAUGGGCCCUUCUAUAAUAUGGGCACUGAAAUGAAAGCAAACAGUGGGAGAAGGAUUGGUAUCAUAUAGAAACAUUUUUAUAGAAAUGAAAAAGCAAAAAAGUCACAUUGCAAUGUAUUUCCAUAAAGCUACACCAAUUGUGUCUGCCUUUCUUGCCUUCCCUUUCUCCUCCUCCACCUCUUCCACCUUUGCCACUCUGAAACAGCAAGACUAACCCCUCAUCUUCCUCCUCUUCCUCAGCCUACUCAACAUGAAGACAACAAAGAUGAAGACCUUCCUAAUGAUCCACUUCCACUUAAUGACCAGCAAAUAGAUUUGCCUAUCUUAUAAUUUUCUUAAUAACAUUUUCUUUUCUCUAGCUUUCCUUAUUGUAAAUGUAGAGUAUACAGUGCAUAUGAUAUAGAAAAUAUGUGUUAGUCAACUGUUUAUGUUAUCAGUAAGGCUUCCAGUCAAUAGUAGGCUAUUAGUAGUUAUGUUUUGGGGGGAAGUAAUAAGUUAUACAUGAAUUUUUGACUGGGUAAGCUGUCAGUACCCCUAACUCCCACAUUAUUCUAGGGUUAACACUGCCACGAUAUUACCUUCCUAGAUAUAUUGCUGAUCUGUUUCAGACCUUCAUCAUAUAUUAUUUAGACAACUAAAAUACAAUUAAUUCAGUUAUUGAUUAGCUUUACGAAUAUCAGUUGAGUUCUCUACUAUAUGCCAAACUCUUUACUAGUUACUGAAGCACUUUAUUAGAAUAAGACAUGUUUUUCUUGCCUUCAAGAAUCUUACAUUUGAAUUAGAGUUACAUAUGCAAGUAAUUAAUUACAAUGUAAUGUUAUAGAUGGAUAAUAAAAAAUAAUCAUGAAAGCAGAGGAAGGAGACUCCUUGGUUAUCUGGGGGAAGAAGAACUUCACAGAAGCUGAUAUUUGAAGUGUUUUGAAGGACAAAUUGGAGACAGAAAACAGACUGAUAAUCUUAAAAUUCCAGAUAAAAUGUGGCAAACAUCCCUUUAAAUAGACAUUUGAGACCAUAAGAAAGCAAAGGAGUUACACAGAAUUCAAAAAAUAAAGAAGUUCUAUUUCUGGAAUGGCAACAUAAGAGGUUCCAUGGACACAUUCAACAGUGAAACUGAGGAAAAUUACUUUAAAAUAACCAUUUAAAGGCAGUGGAAAUUGUCCUAAGUGUAUAUAGCAAAUGAGGAAACAUUUAUUCGGGAAAACAUACCAAAACUUGGUAAGAACAGCAGGGGUCUGUGGUAUUUGAUCUAUAAGCCUACUUUCACCCUUCCUGCUUCUGCUCAGAGUGGCAGAAACUCUGGGCAGGUGUGGCUAGGAAAAUGGGGUUCCCUCUCCCCUCAGCUUCCAAUCCAGUGCUAUGGUAUAUCUUUCCAAGAGGGAUGAAUGUCAGCAUUUCUCAUCUUGAACCCCAGCUACCUGUUGCACAGGCUAAGUUCUGGAUGGGAGCAGCAGAGAGAAGUGUCUCCCUUCUUUUGCCCAGCCAACAUUCUUUAAGGGGAAUUAGACUUCAUCAAAAUAAUUCAGCCAGUCACUAAACAAAUAAACAAACAAGUGACAGUAACAUGCCCAGAGAGGCCAUGCAGUACCAAGAGAGAGCCUGUGCACUUGGGUGGGGAGAGUACAGCAAUUGGAGGAAUUUACAUUGAACUCAGUGCUGCCCUGUCACAGUGGAGAACAAAGCCGUGCUGGGCUCAGCCAGUGCCUGCAUGUUGGGGGAGCACUUGCACUAGACCUAGCCAGAGGGGAACUUGAGUUUCUUGGCCACAGGGGUGCUUGCAUCACCACAACCCCAAUUCUAGGUGGCUCAGCACAUGGAGAGAGACUGUUUGUUUGAGAGUGAGAGAAAAGAACAAGAGUCUCCGCCUGGUAAUCCAGAGAAUUCUUCCGGAUCUUAUCCAAGACCACCAAGGCAGUAACUUGUAUGAGUCUGUAAAAACUACAGCAUUACUGGGCUUGGGGCCUAAGUCCCUUGGAAUACCUGGAAAGCCUUCUGAAUGAUGACAGGAACAAACAAGCCCAAAAUGUGAAGACUACAAUAAAGACCUAAUUCUUCAAUGGCCAGACACAGAUGAGCAUCUACAAGCAUCAAGACCAUCCAGGAAAACAAAAUUUCACCAAAUGAACUAAAUAAGGCACGAGGGACCAAUGAUUCGUGGAGAAACAUAGAUAUGUGACCUUUCAGACAGAAUUCAAAAUA